GGUCCAUCAUCCUUGCACACACUCAAAAGCAUUGAUAAAUGCUGAAUUUAAAAGAAUCACUACUGUCUAAUGUUCCUGCGUGUCACCUGGACCUCCAAUCCAAAAACCUGAUGAAACUCUUCUAUCAGAAAGGAGGACAGCUAGCAAAAAGGCUUGGAACAAUGAAUGAUCAAAUGACAGAAGGCAUGGAUGAAGUCAGCAUCAGUGAGGUCAUUUGAAGACACCACUGUUGGGAUUUGUGCUCUCAAACAACAUGCUUCUUGUGAUGAAGAAGAGGAUCUUUGUAUAGUCCUGGAAGGCAUGAAGGUGUUGCAACAUCGUGCCAUGUUGUUUGAGCUGAUGUAUGCCUUAAACCUGAGCUAUCCUGAUCUCCGCUUUAUUUUUGAGGAAAUCCAAAAGAUUUUAAUGGAACUGCAUUGAGCGUAACUUUAACAAACAGUUUCUUUCAGUGAAAGGAUCAGAAAGACUGUGCUGCUCAUUUAUGUUCCUUUUAUUUAUCUUUUUUAAGUGUUUUCUCUUAUUAAAACAUUAACCGUUUGCUGCUCAGAGUUGAUUUUGGAAAUGGUUGUUGUAUUUUGUUUUUGUUAAAUCUUUGAUUAUCAGUUUAUACAAAUGCUGUAGCUCUGACUUUCUGAAGGAUUGAUAUUUUCCAGUUUGUAAAUCCAUUUAAAAAAUAAUAGUACUUACUGUUUUGCAUGUCUCUUUGGAAUGCAAGUGUUUGUGUUUUAGCACUUCUAAAUCUACUGUGAUAGUAACUAUUUUAAACAUUUGGGUCAGUUUUACAGAUGGGGCUUUUCCUAGUCCCA